rnacentral:rRNA from 1 species
GAUGAACGCUAGCGGCAGGCCUAAUACAUGCAAGUCGAACGGAUAUAUGUUUUUCGGAAUAUAUAUUAGUGGCGCACGGGUGAGUAACACGUACAUAACUUGCCCUCAAGCGGGGGAUAGCCUUGGGAAACUGAGAGUAAUACCCCAUAGAAUUAUUGGACGGCAUCGUUUGAUAAUUAAAACUACGGUGUUUGGGGGUAGAUGUGCGUCUGAUUAGCUAGUUGGUGAGGUAACUGCUCACCAAGGCGACGAUCAGUAGGGGGCGUGAGAGCGUGGCCCCCCACACGGGUACUGAGACACGGACCCGACUCCUACGGGAGGCAGCAGUAAGGAAUAUUGGUCAAUGGAGGGAACUCUGAACCAGCCAUGCCGCGUGAAGGAUGACGGCCCUCUGGGUUGUAAACUUCUUUUGGAUGGGGCGAAAAAACGGGAUUUAUCCUGGACUGACGGUACCAUCAGAAUAAGCACCGGCUAACUCCGUG